rnacentral:tRNA from 1 species
GUAGUACAGUGAUUAGUACUCCACGUUGUGACCGUGUCGACGCUGGUUCGAUUCCAGCC